UAAAACCAGCACCUCAAGUGGUCAGGAUGAUUAUUGGGCCUAAAGCAUCCGUAGCCGGCUUUGUUAGUUUUCGGUUAAAUCCAUGUGCUCAACGCAUGGGCUGCCGAAAAUACUGCAUGGCUAGGGAGUGGGAGAGGUAGACGGUACUCAGUAGGAAGGGGUAAAAUCCUUUGAUCUAUUGAUGACCACCUGUGGCGAAGGCGGUCUACCAGAACACGUUCGACGGUGAGGGAUGAAAGCUGGGGGAGCAAACCGGAUUAGAUACCCGGGUAGUCCCAGCUGUAAACGAUGCAGACUCGAUGAUGCAUUGGCAUAAUAGCCAGUGCAAGUGUCGCAGGGAAGCCGUUAAGUCUGCCGCCUGGGAAGUACGUACGCAAGUAUG
rnacentral:rRNA from 2 species